AUUGAACGCUGGCGGCAUGCCUUACACAUGCAAGUCGAACGGUAACGCGGGGCAACCUGGCGACGAGUGGCGAACGGGUGAGUAACACAUCGGAACGUGCCCAGUAGUGGGGGAUAGCCCGGCGAAAGCCGGAUUAAUACCGCAUACGACCUACGGGUGAAAGCAGGGGAUCGCAAGACCUUGCGCUAUUGGAGCGGCCGAUGUCAGAUUAGGUAGUUGGUAGGGUAAAAGCCUACCAAGCCUACGAUCUGUAGCUGGUCUGAGAGGACGACCAGCCACACUGGGACUGAGACACGGCCCAGACUCCUACGGGAGGCAGCAGUGGGGAAUUUUGGACAAUGGGCGCAAGCCUGAUCCAGCCAUGCCGCGUGCGGGAAGAAGGCCUUCGGGUUGUAAACCGCUUUUGUCAGGGAAGAAACGUUCUGGGCUAAUACCCUGGGAUAAUGACGGUACCUGAAGAAUAAGCACCGGCUAACUACGUGC
rnacentral:rRNA from 1 species